rnacentral:rRNA from 1 species
CCUACGGGUGGCUGCAGUGGGGAAUAUUGCACAAUGGGCGAAAGCCUGAUGCAGCAACGCCGCGUGAAGGAAGAAGGGUUUCGGCUCGUAAACUUCUAUCAACAGGGACGAAAGAAAUGACGGUACCUGAAUAAGAAGCCCCGGCUAACUACGUGCCAGCAGCCGCGGAAAUACGUAGGGGGCAAGCGUUAUCCGGAAUUACUGGGUGUAAAGGGGUAGUAGGCGGCAUGGUAAGCCAGAUGUGAAAGGCUUGGGACUAACACGAGGAUUGGAUUUGGAACUAUCAAGCCAGAGUCACGGAGAGGAAAGGGGAAUUCCUGGUGUAGGGGGGAAAUUCGGAGAUAUUUGGAAGAAACCCAGGGGCGAAGGGGGCUUUUUGGAAUUGAACUGAAGCUGAGGGAAGAAAGCGUGGGGAGCCAACCGGAUUAGAUACCCCAGUAGUC